GCAGGCGCCGCACCACACCGCCUGCCUGCCUGCCUGCCGGCCAGAGGUCGGGGCGAGAGGCCAGAACCGGAAGACUUUGACGGGGAACAUGCCGUUCGCGGGCCUGUGGGCUCGAGAGGAAGGGGGAGAGAGAGAGAGAGAGACAUCAAUGAUGAGGGAGAAUCCCGGAUGGCUGCCUCCCGCACGCCCCUCUCCCGCAGAUGGAGCCCGUAAACCCCGGCAUGUCCUGCUGCUGAGAAUCAAACCGUGACCUCUCGGUUCAUCGGUCAAGCUCAACCAUGGGGCCAAGCCAGCAGGGUUCAUUUCUUGCCUUACCAGGCUUGCUUGUUAUUUAUAGAUUGGACACUUUGAAUAAUUGGGUUAAAAAUCUAAAUGGCUUACUGGCUUUCAAUAUGGUUUGUUGAAAAUAAAAGUUAGGUCCAUUCAAUUGGC